ACCAGAGCUCACAGCCUCCGUGGCCAGUCUUCAUUUCCACUCCGCCCCUUCCCCUUCUUCCCACUCUCGUUUUUUGACGUUAAGAGGUCAUUAACGGGCUGUGAUAGAAAUGGCAUGCAGGUGUCAUGCUGCAAUGUCAGGACUGUUCUUUUUUUCCCUCUAAUUUGUUGAGGUUUUUGCAGUAAGAAAAUCUGUACCCCUGAACCAUACUACAAAUUAGAGUGCUGCUCUUCUAUGAAACAAACACUGGUUAUCAAAGGUCUGACCCAUGAUUCUGCUGUCUCACUGCUACUUUACUAUCUGAACAGGUGUGUGUUUGUUGCUCCAGCACUAACAGGCACUCCUCCCCGUUGAUUUAUCUCUCCUGUAGGUUUAUUAGCAGCAGCAGGAGACCAGACUGAGGAGCCAUGACUGAGCCACCAGG